GGAUUCUGGCUAAACGCCUGAUAACCAUACAUGUAGUGCAACUUUCACCAUCAAAAUAAUGUUAGGAGUCGUAUCAACUAAAGUAUUUCUUCCUAGGUCCCAAAGUACUUGGCAAGUGUUUUGAAUCGUGCAGAUGAGUCUGGUGUUGUAGGAGUGUUGCUAAUUAACAAGUAUGUAAUGUGGGUCGUCCAACUUGAAGUAUGUGCAAGUACACGUUAUUUUGUUACUUGAAGAGUUGCUGUAUGAGACGUAGCCUGCGUGGCAGGCCCUCAAUUUUAUGGGGGGGGGGGCUGAUUUGCAGCCGCCAAAAUCCUGUCCGGAUUUCCCGAAAAUCAGCCCCCCCCCCCCCGAUGAGACGUUGUUUAGGAUAUAGUUUCCGUCAAAACAUCCCAUUGCGACAUCAAAUAAGGAAAUGUUAUUUUGCUUAACCGCAGGAUUUCUGUAUGAAAGAGUAUGGAUUUGCGUGCAUCACGAGUAUGUUUGAUCAUGGUAAUUGUAUUGCUCAGAGAUAGUUGCUACCAUCUGAACUUAAUGCAGAUAACCAGGAGAGACACCAUCUUAAAGUGCCUAUGACACGAAAUUUCACCUCAAAUGUUUAUAAUUGCAUUGUAAAGAUAACUUAAAAUGACUUAAUUUAAUAAUUUCUUUUAUAGAAUUUUGGUAACUUGCUUCCUUUGCAAGAUAUUCAACUUUGGUUCAUAUGCAAAUAUCACCAGUGUGACAUCACAUCGCAUAAUGACAUUUCGAAAACGCAAUAUUUUAACCUUGAUAAAAUAUUUUUACAAACAAAUACAGUGGGUUAAAAACCAGUUAUGAAAUUAAUACAUAUACAAGGGCAAUUUUUAAGUUUUUUAAAUACGUAUUCGUCAGGAAAACUAUACUUUUCUGAAAACGCAUUAUGUGAUGUGAUGUGAUGUGAUGUGAUGUGAUGUGAUGUGAUGUGAUGUGAUGUGAUGUCACACAGGUGAUAUUUGCAUAUGAAGCAAAGUUGAAUAUCUUGAAAACGGAGCAAGUUACCAAAAUUCUAUAAAAGAAAAUAUUAAGUCAUUUUAAGUGAUCUCCACAAUGCAGCCAUAAACCUUUGGGGUGAAAUUUCGUGUCAUAGGCACUUUAAGGUGGAGUAAUACAGGCAACAAAAUUGCUGCAACUUGCAAAAAAAUCUGAUUUCAACGCAUGUUAAUUGGUAGAAAUGUCGACACACGUUGCCCUGUGAUUUGUAAUUUAUGUGUAUAAACAUUUCAAUUAACAUGCGUAGAAAUCAAAUUUUGUUGCAAGUUGCAGCAAUUUUGUCGCUUGUAUUACUCCAGCUUUAUCAAAAAGACACCAUCUUAACAGAAAUACAGUCACAGCAGUUACUGAUUUUAUAGAUUUCGCCUUUAUGUUUUUAUUAGUCAGUAAAUCGGCCGACAAUAUGUGGUUAACCAAACUAAAUACAUACACCAAUAAAUUUGUUGAACCUAAAAUCAAAAGUGAACAUGCUAUGGAACAUUAUUGCAUGAAUAUGUUGUGUUAUCCGGUUGUAAGUGACAAGUUCGUCAUUAGGAUCAUCAGUUAUCGUUGUCAAUGGUCGAGAAUGGACUUUCAACUCCAGUGAAAAGCGUUUGUAAUUCCUCAUCAUUGAUGUUCGCGUUUGGAAAAACUGCAGCAAUUAUUCGUUUGGCUGACUUUAUCAUACUCUCAAAUACCCCGCCAAUGUAUAGUGCUGCACGUCAAGUGACGAAGCCAUCCGUAAUCGGUUGCACAGUUUUCGAACAGCCUGCCAGUCACUUCCAGACGAAUGUCCGGCAAUGGCGCCAUUUGCUGUGUCUUAGGCCGUAAUCUAAAACGUCAAGAACACUCGGCACAACUACUCACACAACGUUUGACCUCUUGACGUGCGUGCACGAUUAAGUGCUUCUCUCAUUGAUCGUAAAGUUCACACCCAUUUCAUUUUAAAAGUACAACCACAGAGCGGAGCGGACGUGUAUUUUGAGCUCCGGUUAUAGUAAUUAUUAAAACAUAAUUUGACUUAAACCAUUACUGUGCUAAGCUAUAAGAUAUGCUAUGAUUUAAUCUAAGUAUUUUGAAGAGUAAAGGCGUCGAUAAUUAUUGAAAAGGUGAAGUGUUUUACUAAUUGUUGUUCAACUGACCAAGCGAAGCUGAUCAAUUAUAGAUUCCGUUAUGGCGAUGACUAGGUCAAAGAAAACCUUAGAUAGGC
rnacentral:lncRNA from 1 species